CCUACGGGUGGCAGCAGUGGGGAAUAUUUCGCAAUGGGCGAAAGCCUGACGCAGCGACGCCGCGUGAGGGAUGAAGGUCUUCGGAUCGUAAACCUCUGUCAGCAGGGAAGAACGGUCACUGUGCUAAUCAGCAGUGAAUUGACGGUACCUGCAAAGGAAGCACCGGCUAACUCCGUGCCAGCAGCCGCGGUAAUACGGAGGGUGCGAGCGUUAAUCGGAAUUACUGGGCGUAAAGCGCUCGUAGGCGGGAUGUCAAGUCAAGGGUGAAAUCCCCGCGCUCAACGUGGGAACUGCCUUUGAAACUGGCAAACUGGAGUGUGUGAGAGGAUAGUGGAAUUCCAGGUGUAGGAGUGAAAUGCGUAGAUAUCUGGAGGAACAUCAGUGGCGAAGGCGACUAUCUGGCACAUAACUGACGCUGAGGCGCGAAAGCGUGGGUAGCGAACAGGAUUAGAUACCCCUGUAGUC
rnacentral:rRNA from 1 species